rnacentral:rRNA from 1 species
GACAGAGGUGCCGAGCGUUAGGCGGAAUCACUGGGCUUAAAGCGUGUGUAGGCGGAGUUCUAAGUACCUUGUGAAAUCCCACGGCUUAACCGUGGAACUGCUUGGUAUACUGGUUCUCUUGGGCCAUCUAGGGGCUACUGGAACAAACGGUGGAGCGGUGAAAUGCGUAGAUAUCGUUUGGAACGCCAAUGGUGAAAACAAGUAGCUGGGGAUGUGCCGACGCUGAGACACGAAAGCCAGGGGAGCGAAGCGGG